GGAGAAUUAGCUCAAUUGGUAGAGCGGCCGUUUUACACACGGCAGGUUAAGUGUUCAAGCCCCUUAUUCUUCA
rnacentral:tRNA from 1 species